CUUCUUCGGAUAGAAAGUUACGAGAUUCAAGUGAAUCUUCGAAUUACGUGCAUGCAAUGUAGAUGGAGCAUUAUAAUACUCCAGCUUACACAAUCCAAAUGAUUUAUUUCGUUUUUCGACCAUACACAGAGAAUCCAGUUCACACGAACGAGUUUCGUAGCAUAAGCGUAGGAAGAUAGCAGAACUUAUCGAAUACCGGGUGAAAGGACGUCAUUCCAGAUCUAGAGAAACAAGUGUGGAACAAUGCCAGAUUAGCGCGGCCAUUUCAUUACCCAUGCAACCUGUUGAUCCUCGUAAUGAGUCGUACAUGAAUUAAUGAAUAAAUGAAAGGUAAACAACACUACGAGCUAUUGUACACUUUUAUUGUGUCCUUUGAAACAGACAGGACAUACUAAAUUUUCUUUUAUCGCUUAUGGCGCUCAAGGAUUGGCGCACGUGCGAUGAAAACACGAAUAUGCCUCAUAAAAGUAAUCCUACAAAGAGUGCUUCAUGAUACGAAAUGUAACCUGUAAUACCUAUUUAUUCUGAAAAAAAAGAUAAUAUUUUUUUGUUUUUUUUUUUUAUUGUUUUCUUUUCGAAAAAUAUUUGGUAAUUUAUAACUGUUUUACGAAAUUAAACUUCAUUACAAAUUAAACCUACCAAGUUUCCGAUACAGAAACGCCAUCUAUGGGCGAGUAUCUCUAUCUCAAAUGUACGUACCGA